rnacentral:rRNA from 1 species
GACGAACGCUGGCGGCGUGCUUAACACAUGCCAGUCGAACGGAAAGGCCCUGCUUUUGUGUGGUGCUCGAGUGGCGAACGGGUGAGUAACACGUGAGUAACCUGCCCUUGACUUUGGGAUAACUUCAGGAAACUGGGGCUAAUACCGGAUAGGAGCUCCUGCUGCAUGGUGGGGGUUGGAAAGUUUCGGCGGUUGGGGAUGGACUCGCGGCUUAUCAGCUUGUUGGUGGGGUAGUGGCUUACCAAGGCUUUGACGGGUAGCCGGCCUGAGAGGGUGACCGGCCACAUUGGGACUGAGAGACGGCACAGACUCCUACGGGAGGCAGCAGUGGGGAAUAUUGCACAAUGGGCGGAAGCCUGAUGCAGCAACGCCGCGUGCGGGAUGAAGGCCUUCGGGUUGGAAACCGCCUUCGCCUGUGACGAAGCGUGAGUGACGGUAAUGGGUAAAGAAGCACCGGCUAACUACGUG